UUUUCUCAAAUGCGUCAUAAAUUAAAAUAUCCGUUAUCUCCUAUUUACGUGUUUUUCAAAUAUUUUCUUUCUCACACAUAAUACUUGCGCCAAUCACGUAAAAUAUUACUAAAAAGAUUUAAUACCCACCUAAGCAAAACUAAUUAAAUUGUUAAUUAAAUGUAAUUUUAUAUUUUAAAAUUUUUUUAGUAAAGUAUUCAAAAGUAAUAUCCGCCAAAAUAUCUUAUGCAUUUCUCAAAUAUAGAACAUAUCUUAAUGCACUCACAUAUAAUAUCUACAUAUCUUUGCAUAUAAUAUCUACACUAUCCCACAUUUAUCUCAUCAUAUAAUAUAUCUUUAUCUCAUCAUAUAAUAUUUAUUCACACACAGAAUAUAAUUUUUUGGAGACAUAUUUUUUUAGUAAUAUCUUUUUUAUUUCAUCUAUAUUUUUCUCAAAUAUUAUUUUUAGUAAUAUUCUUUCUCAUAUGUCCCUAUCGCUAGCACCAGUAUAUCGUAGCAUAUUGUUAUCGUCGACAUCAGCACAUUGUCACUUUUGCCACCUUCGUCAUAGUUAGAAAGGAAUUUUGAUCUCACCUGAAAUUUUUUUUUUUAUGUGCAUUUA
rnacentral:lncRNA from 1 species